ACGCUCGACACCUACGGGAGGCAGCAGUGGGGAAUAUUGCACAAUGGGGGGAACCCUGAUGCAGCGACGCCGCGUGAGGGAAGAAGGUUUUCGGAUUGUAAACCUCUGUCUUCAGGGACGAAACUGACGGUACCUGAGGAGGAAGCCACGGCUAACUACGUGCCAGUAGCCGCGGUAAUCUGAGCGGGCUGGCAAGGC
rnacentral:rRNA from 1 species